rnacentral:rRNA from 1 species
UUAUGGCUCAGGAUGAACGCUAGCUACAGGCUUAACACAUGCAAGUCGAGGGGCAGCAUGUGGUUGCUUGCAACCAAUGAUGGCGACCGGCGCACGGGUGAGUAACGCGUAUCCAACCUUCCCUAUAGUAGAGGAUAGCCCGGCGAAAGUCGGAUUAAUACUCUAUGUUUUCCAAUGCAGACAUCUAAGUUGGAACAAAGGUUCACCGCUAUAGGAUGGGGAUGCGUCUGAUUAGAUAGUCGGCGGGGUAACGGCCCACCGAGUCGACGAUCAGUAGGGGUUCUGAGAGGAAGGUCCCCCACAUUGGAACUGAGACACGGUCCAAACUCCUACGGGAGGCAGCAGUGAGGAAUAUUGGUCAAUGGGCGAGAGCCUGAACCAGCCAAGUAAGCGUGCAGGAUGACGGCCCUAUGGGUUGUAAACUGCUUUUAUACAGGGAUAAAGUGACGUACGUGUACGUUUUUGUAGGUACUGUAUGAAUAAGGACCGGCUAAUUCCGUGCCAGCCGCCGC